rnacentral:rRNA from 1 species
ACAAAUCCUCAACGAUGGAUAUCUAGGUUCCUACGACGAUGAAGAACGCAGCGAAGUGCGAUAAGCAAUGCGAAUUGCAGAGCCGAGAGUCAUCAGAUUUUUGAACGCAACUGGCACCUGAGGGCACUCCCUCAGGUAUGCUUCCUUCAGUGU